rnacentral:rRNA from 1 species
GGGGGGGGCAAGCGUUGUUCGGAAUUACUGGGCGUAAAGGGCUCGUAGGCGGCCAACUAAGUCAGACGUGAAAUCCCUCGGCUUAACCGGGGAACUGCGUCUGAUACUGGAUGGCUUGAGUUUGGGAGAGGGAUGCGGAAUUCCAGGUGUAGCGGUGAAAUGCGUAGAUAUCUGGAGGAACACCGGUGGCGAAGGCGGCAUCCUGGACCAACACUGACACUGAGGAGCGAAAGCCAGGGGAGCAAACGGGAUUAGAUACCCCGGUAGUCCUGGCCCUAAACGAUGAAUGCUUGGUGUGGCGGGUAUCGAUCCCUGCCGUGCCGAAGCUAACGCAUUAAGCAUUCCGCCUGGGGAGUACGGUCGCAAGGCUG